CCCACCGGGUCUCCGGCCGCGGCCAACGCAGGCCCCACGCCGGCCGUUGCGCCGUUAAGUCGGGCCGGUAACGCCGGGCACUUACGGCGUACCUUUUAGCGGACGAUCCCCAGCGGCGGCCCCGCGCGGUCCCCGGCUCUUCCCUGGCUGCCCGCGGCCAAGGCCCGCACCUAUGAGCGCGGGCGGAGGAGACGUCUGGCUGCUGCUGUGCGCAUUCUGCAGCCUGGUCCACUACCCACUUCUGCACCGAAACAGGAUCAGCCACAGCCCGCUGUGUGGUCUACGACGCUGUUCCUUCCUGUGUAGCAUCAUCAGCUAGUCUCAGUCAGUGUUGUAAAGAGAAAAAGGGAACUUCCAGGAAGAUCCUACUGCCAUAGGUUCUUGCCCACUUCCCCCUUGAAGUGAUCCAUCAUACGCACUUCAUUAUAUCUUCAAGAUGUCCGGUCAACAAUCUCAAGCAGUGGCAAAUAUGCUGGCUGAAAUUGCCCUUCUUGUUCUGGAGUAUCUU